rnacentral:rRNA from 1 species
CAGUCGCCGCGGUAAUACGAAGGGGGCUAGCGUUGUUCGGAAUUACUGGGCGUAAAGCGCACGUAGGCGGAUAUUUAAGUCAGGGGUGAAAUCCCGCAGCUCAACUGCGGAACUGCCUUUGAUACUGGGUAUCUUGAGUAUGGAAGAGGUUAGUGGAAUUGCGAGUGUAGAGGUGAAAUUCGUAGAUAUUCGCAGGAACACCGGUGGCGAAGGCGGCUAACUGGUCCAUAACUGACGCUGAGGUGCGAAAGCGUGGGGAGCAAACAGGAUUAGAUACCCCUGUAGUCCCUGUCUCUUAUAC